rnacentral:rRNA from 1 species
CCCUUAGAUGUUCUGGGCGGCCCGCGCACUACAAUGGCGUGUGCAGCGAGUGCCGAAGUAGAGUUUUCUGAGGUAUUCUUGCAAUGCUCGUUUUGAUGGGGAUAGACCCUUGCAACUGUUGGUUUUGAACGAGGAAUUCCUUGUAAGCAUGGUUUAUCAUCCGACGCUGAAUGCGUCCCUGCCCUUUGUACACACCGCCCGUCGCUCCUACCGAUGAGUCGUCCGGUGAAGUUCGUAGACCUCGUGAUCGCGGAUCACUGGGGGAAGCAAAAUGAACCUCGCGGUUUAGAGGAAGGAGAAGUCGUAACA